UACGGGGGGGGCAAGCGUUGUUCGGAAUUACUGGGCGUAAAGGGCUCGUAGGCGGCCAACUAAGUCAGACGUGAAAUCCCUCGGCUUAACCGGGGAACUGCAUCUGAUACUGGAUGGCUUGAGAUUGGGAGAGGGAUGCGGAAUUCCAGGUGUAGCGGUGAAAUGCGUAGAUAUCUGGAGGAACACCGGUGGCGAAGGCGGGUCUCUGGGCCUGUACUGACGCUGAGGAACGAAAGCGUGGGGAGCGGACAGG
rnacentral:rRNA from 1 species